rnacentral:rRNA from 1 species
GCAAGAUACCACGGGCGCACGGCGGAUGCCUUGGCACAGGGAGCCGAUGAAGGACGCGGCAAGCUGCGAUAAUCCCCGGCGAGGAGCACACAUCCUUCGACCCGGGGGUCUCCGAAUGGGCGAACCCAU